rnacentral:rRNA from 1 species
CCUACGGGUGGCAGCAGUGGGGAAUAUUGGACAAUGGGCGAAAGCCUGAUCCAGCCAUGCCGCGUGUGUGAAGAUGGCCUUCGGGUUGUAAAGCACUUUCAGUGGGGAAGAAAGCCUUGGGGCUAAUACCCUCGAGGAAGGACAUCACCCACAGAAGAAGCACCGGCUAACUCCGUGCCAGCAGCCGCGGUAAUACGGAGGGUGCGAGCGUUAAUCGGAAUUACUGGGCGUAAAGCGCGCGUAGGCGGUCUGAUAAGCCGGUUGUGAAAGCCCCGGGCUCAACCUGGGAACGGCAUCCGGAACUGUCAGGCUAGAGUGCAGGAGAGGAAGGUAGAAUUCCCGGUGUAGCGGUGAAAUGCGUAGAGAUCGGGAGGAAUACCAGUGGCGAAGGCGGCCUUCUGGACUGACACUGACGCUGAGGUGCGAAAGCGUGGGUAGCAAACAGGAUUAGAUACCCGAGUAGUC